rnacentral:rRNA from 1 species
CCUACGGGUGGCAGCAGUGAGGAAUAUUGGGCAAUGGACGAGAGUCUGAACCAGCCAAGUAGCGUGAAGGAUGACUGCCCUAUGGGUUGUAAACUUCUUUUAUAUGGGAAUAAAAUGUUCCACGUGUGGGAUUUUGUAUGUACCAUAUGAAUAAGGAUCGGCGAACUCCGUGCCAGCAGCCGCGGUAAUACGGAGGAUCCGAGCGUUAUCCGGAUUUAUUGGGUUUAAAGGGAGCGUAGGUGGAUUGUUAAGUCAGUUGUGAAAGUCUGCGGCUCAACCGUAAAAUUGCAGUUGAAACUGGCAGUCUUGAGUACAGUAGAGGUGAGCGGAAUUCGUGGUGUAGCGGUGAAAUGCUUAGAUAUCACGAAGAACUCCGAUUGCGAAGGCAGCUCACUGGACUGCAACUGACACUGAGGCUCGAAAGUGUGGGUAGCAAACAGGAUUAGAUACCCCAGUAGUC